GAACCUUAUUAAAUACAAUUUUCUAACACUGAAAAAUAUUUAACAUAAGGUAGGUUUUUUUUUUUUAAUCACACGUACAAAUUUAUAUGGAAAAAAAAUACUUUGUAAUAAUCAUUUUUGUAAAUAAAAAAAAAUUAAUUAAUAAGAUAAAAUCAUUAGAGAGGGAGGUUUUUAAGCCCCUCUACUGUUAUUGCCCUCUUAAAUAUUUGUUUAAGUUAUCUUUUAGGAAUUUUUUUUACCGUUUUUAAUCUCUUUUUGUUGAUUUUAAUUGCAUAAACAUCCUAAACCUGGAUGAAUAACAUUUGUAUUUCCAACGUAUAAUACCUAUCAUAGUCGAAAAAAUCGUGAUCCGCUGUCAAAAUUGAAAAUAAACGAUAUUCUCUCCAUUUUCUCAGGCUUUUAGAUCUAAAAUGACUAAAAUAAAGCCAAUUUCCUAAAUAUUAGGUAUAAUAACGCGGAUCAUUGCGUGAUAGUUAGGCCGUAGUU